UGAGAGGGUAAGGCUCCCAGUAGACGACUGGGUUGAUAGGCCGGAUAUGGAAGCCCUGUAAGGGGUGGAGUUGACCGGUACUAAUAGGCCGAGGGCUUGUCCUC
rnacentral:rRNA from 3 species